AUACCCACCAUCGCAUUUCCAGGGAGCUAAGAAUGGAAAGAGCCUGGGCGCUGGUAGGACUACACCCUGGGAUGCUGGUGCAGAAGCUGUGUCCUGGUGCAGAAAGGAUUUUGGUGGGGAGCAGAGGAGGCAGGAGUUUGGGUUCUGGACCAGUUACCUGAAGGUAUUGCGAAGUUUCUCUCCCACUGGGUAUGUCCGGUCCUUCUUCUCAAACUCAUCGUCGAAGAGGGCUGGAGUGCAGUGGUGCAAUCACGGAUCACUGCAGCUUGGAACUCCUGGGCUCAAGUCAUCCUCCAGCCUCAACCUCCUGAGUAGCUGGGACUACAGGGAUGGUGAUGAAGGACUCCAGAAGAGGUGCCUGUACAGCCCCAUCCAGGCUCCAGUGGGUGCCACUUGUCCCGGCCUGAAGUCACAGCCCCCAGAUGCUGCCUUCCUCUGCCAAUCCCUAUACCUGCUGGGGUGGGCACCGAGGGCCAAUCCCAGACUUGGGAGCAGGGUGGGAGUGGGGUGGGGGUGGUGCACAGGGAGGGCCUCUAUGUGGCCCUGAUUGUUGGCUCAGUUCCCUCUGCUUGGGGGAUGGGUUGAGGUGUCCCCUGGUUGUGACAGAAUGGAGGUUGUGGGUUCUCAGCCCCUGCAAUCCCCACCCUACAUUUGGAACAUUCUGUCCUGGCUCCUGAGUCUGAAGAAGGUGCAAAAUGUGUGGUUUGGAACUCGCAUUGAAUCUCAGCGUGGCUCUGGCUCUUGCAGACCCAGAAUCUUUUCCAUUCUAGCUGCAGUGUGUCUGAGACUCAUUGUUUGCUAAGGAUUGAUUUCAUGAAUGAGUGACCUGCCCUCAGCGGGGCCCAUCCUUGAUUGAAGGCUCUGUUGUUGCUGUCUUGAAACUCUUAACAAUGUCUGAACAAGAGACCCGGCAUCUCCAUUUUGCCCUGGGUUCUGUACAUUAUGUAGCCAGUCUCAGUUCACUUUUAGUUGUCUGCCUUUUAGUAUCUUUUUCAUGUCAAACCAUGUAGAUGUAUUUUUAUAACUAUAAAAUCUAAGUAGCACAAAAGAUAAAAACAAAGAAGGAUACAUUUAUUAUUUGCUGUGACCUUUAGAAAUGGUCCACAUGUCCACUGCAGUGCACAAGCUGCUAUAUACACACCACACUUGACAAUCCAGUCUGCCUGACUCCCAGGACAGCCUGUGUGAUGUGCAAAAUGCCAUUCCCAUGAGGGCACAUCAUUUUUCCCCGGGACUUAUGAAGGACACAGAUAGAGCUUGUGCUAUAGGCCGCGCCCCCCUCCCCGCACCCCCGUUCCUGUGCUGGCUCCAUGCUGGUGUCCACUCCAGAGCCAGGCGCGGGGAGAAGCGGCUCCCAGACUCCCCUGCUGAUCUCCCCCUGACCCCUAGGUGUACCGUCCAAGUCAGAUGACAGUCAUAGGCUAACAUCCCCAGCUCUGCUUGGAACUCAGGAAAGGAUACUUCUGGGUAGAAGAAAGAUUCUGCGGUGGGCAUGGACUUGGCCAUUGAAGACCCUGAGAGGACAUCUUGCCCACCCUCUCCAGGCUGGGCCCUGUCUGUGCUGCCUGGAGCUGGAAGCAAAAGAUUCCAGCCUUACAAUCUGCGGGGAUGGAAACUCCAUGAGCUUUCUUGCAUCUCAUUCCAGCAUUUGCCACAGAUGCUGAUUUCUUGCCUGAGUCAUGUAUAUUGAAGUUUUUGCUCAUUUCUUACUAGGCUUAAGAAAUUGGAAAUCUCUGCCUCACAAAUCCCAAAGGGCUGAACAUGCCCCAAGCCCGUGAACAAAUUUUGAGCAUGUGAAGGACAAAACCCCAGUUCCUAAAGCGUUCAUGAGCACCCACUUUCUGUUCAGCCUGGAAGAGAAGGAGCACUGCUGCCCUCUGGUGGUCAGGCAGCAGAGCAUCAAGGAGCCUCCCAAGGGAACUGGGUCCCCUUUGCUUUGUCUUUGGGACAGUAGCUUUGAGUCUUAGGUCAAUGGAUGUCCUUUCACUGUUCCUGGAAAAUGGCAAGCUUGUUCUUGCCUCAGGGCCUUGGGCCUUGAUUCUCCCUCUCCCUGGAAUGUUCUUUCUCCAGCUCUCAGGUGACAGCUGCCUUCUCAUUCUCUAGCCGCCAGACCAAAUGCCACCUCCUCAGGGAAGCCCUCCUGGACCACUUCGUCUAAAAUAGCAACUCAUCCCAGCCCCUGUCACUCUAUCCCAUUGCCCUGUUUCCCCUUGUUUAUAGCACUUACCUGCUAUUUGGAAGUAUCUCUCUAGAGUCUGCAUCCAUUGCCUCUCUCCCUCACCAGAUGUCGGCUCCAGGAGGGCAGGGUCCCUGUCUGUUUUGUUUGUCACUGGACUUCAAUGCAUUGUACAUAGUAGAUACGCAAAAAUACUUGUCAAAGAGGUAAAUAAAUGCAUAUCAACAA